GUACCUGCUAAGUUCCGGUACCCCUUCUACUACGAGAUGUGUUGGUACGUGUUGGAGCGCUACGUCUACUGCCUGACCGGCACCUCCUACCUCACGCCGGCCUUCCAGAGGGAGGCUCGCCCUCAUCGAUUUCCCGGAGUUGGAGAGAGCCAACCCCACGUUCCCCAUCAAGAUGGAGGCUGCAGAAGAUGACAACAGCAGCAGUCAUAACAACAUCACCAACAGCUAUAGCCAUGACGGCGGUGACGGCGGUGACGGCGGUGGUGGCUGUGUUGGCGGUGAUAAUGGUUGUAGUGUUGAUGGCGGUGAUGGCGGUGGCUUUAGCGGUGGAGGUGAUGGUUGUGGCAGUGGUUGCGAUGGGGAUGGUGUUGGCUACGCACAGCCUCACCCGGGAUGCAAACGGCAGUGGCUGCUGUCGCCGCCGUCGUCGCCACCACCACCACCACCAUCGGCAACCACCUCAGUCUCGUCUGCAACUACAACAACCGACGCUACACCCUGCGUCGCUACGGCCGUUGUUGCUCCAACAAGCACCAGAACAGCCACGUCAACAACGGACGGAGCGGUGCCAUCUCGCGGCGCAACCUGGCCGACAUUCGGACCGGCAACGGCGGCCGGAGCGGCCGGCGGUGUCGCCGCCACAGCCGUUGCCGCGGAUGGAGACGCUGUAGCGGCUACAGGCGGCACGCCGGCGGCUGAAGGGGUUGCCAUAGCGACGGCCGAGCGCAACGUAGCCGCGGCAAAAGCAGCAGCGGCCACAACCGCGGAGGCGGCGGCGGAGGCGGCGGAGGCGGCGGCGGCGGCGUUGGGUGCCGUGGAUACGGCUGCAGCCGGAGCUACAGCCGGAACUACAGCCCCGGUGGCGACAGCUGGAACCGCAGCCCCAGUGGUGAUUAUCGGAACUGCGGCCCCGGUGGCGACAGGCGGAGUUGCGGCUGUGGCUGAAGCAGUGGCGGCGGCGGCAACAACAACAACGACGACGACAACGAGAUGUUCUCCGUAUCCAGGCGCUUUGGAAACGCAACGGCCGCCCGAGUCGCAGCAACAACAGUCGCAGCACGGCGAGCAUCAACAGCAACGCGAACAGCAGCAGCUGCAGCAGCUGCUGCAACACCAGCAGGCGGAACAGCAGCGUCAUUUGGACCGCCAACAGCAACAGCAACAGCUGCUGCUGCUGGACGACCAUCGACCCCGCCAGCAACUCUGCCAGCAACAACAAUCGCUGCAACAACCUCGGUGGGCUGGAGCCCCAGUGGAGGGGAAGGUGGACAAUGCAGCUUCACCACAGUGGAGUGGAGCCCCAGUGGAUGUGAAGGUGGACAAUGCAGCUUCACCACAGUGGAGUGGAGCCCCAGUGGAUGUGAAGGUGGACAAUGCAGCUUCACCACAGUGGAGUGGAGCCCCAGUGGAGGGGAAGGUGGACAAUGCAGCUUCACCACAGUGGAGUGGAGUCCCAGUGGAGGUGAAGGUGGACAAUGCAGCUUCACCACAGUGGAGUGUAGCCCCAGUGGAUGUGAAGGUGGACUGUCUGGCUCCACCACAGUGGACUGGAGCCCCAGUGGAUGUGAAGGUGGACAAUGCAGCUUCACAGUUGACUGAAGUCCCAGUGGAGAUGAAGGUGGACAGCCUGACUCCACCCCAGUGGGCUGGAGUCCCAGUGGAUGUGAAGGUGGACAGCGUGGCUCCACCCCAGUGGGCUGGAGUCCCAGUGGAGAUGAAGGUGGAGAGCGUGGCUCCACCCCAGUGGACUGGAGCCCCAGUGGAGGGGAAGGUGGACAGCCUGACUCCACCACAGUGGGCUGGAGUCCCAGUGGAUGUGAAGGUGGACUGUUUGACUCCACCACAGUGGACUGGAGUCCCAGUGGAGGGGAAGGUGGACAGCCUGACUCCACCACAGUGGGCUGGAGUCCCAGUGGAUGUGAAGGUGGACUGUUUGACUCCACCACAGUGGACUGGAGUCCCACUGGAGGGGAAGGUGGACAAUGCAGCUUCACCACAGUGGACUGGAGUCCCAGUGGAUGUGAAGGUGGAGAGCGUGGCUCCACCCCAGUGGGCUGGAGUCCCAGUGGAGGGGAAGGUGGACAAUGCACCUUCACCACAGUGGAGUGUAGCCCCAGUGGACAUGAAGGUGGACAGCGUGGCUCCACCCCAGUGGGCUGGAGUCCCAGUGGAGAUGAAGGUGGACGAGCGUGGCUCCACCACAGUGGGCUGGAGUACCAGUGGAGGGGAAGGUGGACAAUGCAGCUUCACCACAGUGGAGUGUAGCCCCAGUGGACAUGAAGGUGGACAGCCUGGCUCCACCCCAGUGGGCUGGAGUCCCAGUGGAUGUGAAGGUGGACUGUUUGACUCCACCACAGUGGACUGGAGCCCCAGUGGAUGUGAAGGUGGACUGUUUGACUCCACCCCAGUGGGCUGGAGCCCCAGUGGAUGUGAAGGUGGACUGUUUGACUCCACCACAGUGGACUGGAGUCCCAGUGGAUGUGAAGGUGGACAGCCUGGCUCCACCACAGUGGACUGGAGUCCCAGUGGAUGUGAAGUGGACAAUGCGGCUCCACCCCUCGGGCACGUCCUGGUGGUGGUUCCGGUGCCACUGCUGGGACAGCCGCCACCUCCUGCUCCGUCGGGGGCCUCUGUGGCCUUCACCGUGGCUUCCCUCCGUGGCCUCCUCUGGCGACUCUUCCGUGGCCCUCCGUGGCAAUCCACCGGGGCCACCGCGGCCUCCACCGGCGUCUCUACUGUGGCCUCCUCUGCGGUCUCUUCCGGGGCCUCCUCGGGCAGCUUCUCCCUGGCCUCCGGCGUCGCCUCCGGGGCAUCCUCUGGGGCGACUGUGGCCUCCGUCGUGGCCUCCUCUGAGGCUACUGUGGCCUCCACCGUGGCCUCCUCUGAGGCUACUGUGGCCUCCACCGUGGCCUCCUCUGGGGCGACUGUGGCCUCUACCCCUCGCCUCCUCUGAGGCUACUGUGGCCUCCACCGUGGCCUCAUCUGAGGCUACUGUGGCCUCUACCCUCGCCUCCUCUGAGGCGACUGUGGCCUCCACCGUGGCCUCCUCUGGGGCCACUGUGGCCUCCACCGUGGCCUCCUCUGAGGCGACUGUGGCCUCUACCCUCGCCUCCUCUGAGGCGACUGUGGCCUCUACCCUCGCCUCCUCUGGGGCGACUGGGGCCUCUACGUGGCCUCAUCUGUGGCCUCUACCCUCGCCUCUUCUGGGGCGACUGUGACCUCCACCGUGGCCUCCUCUGAGGCUACUGUGGCCUCCACCGGGGCCUCUACUCUGGCCUUCUCCGGGGCCACCUCCGGGGCCUCCUCAGUGGCGUCCACCAUGGCCUCCACCGUGGCCUCCUCUGAGGCUACUGCGGCCCCCGCCGGGGCCGCCUCCUCCUCCUCCUCCGCCGGGGCCGCCUCCUCUUCGGCGGUGGCGGCCGCGGCGGUGCUGCUGACGGCGCUGGAACGCGUGGGCCUCAGCGCCCUGGUCUCCCGCCUCUCGGCGCUGCCCCCGGGAAAGCGAUGCGUGCCGCCCGGCAUCGGCCAACCCGACCACCUGCUGGGACACAUAGCGGCGCUGCUCGAGCUGCACGCCGGGGACGACGUGGAGGCGGCCCAUCACCGGAAGUCCCCAUCGUCACCUGGCCCCGCCCCCACCCGACGC